rnacentral:rRNA from 1 species
AGAGUUUGAUCAUGGCUCAGAACGUACGCUGGCGGCACGCCUAAUACAUGCAAGUCGAACGAAGUAGCAAUACUUAGUGGCAGACGGGUGAGUAACAUGUGGGUAUCUUCCCUUUGGUGAGGAAUAACACGAGGAAACUUGUGCUAAUACCUCAUAAGUCUUUACAGAGAAAGCUUUAUGCGCCAUUGGAUGAGCCCGCACUUGAUUAGUUUGUUGGUGGGGUAAUGGCUUACCAAGACAAUGAUCAAUAGCUGAUUUGAGAGGAUGAUCAGCCACAUUGGGACUGAGACACGGCCCAAACUCCUACGGGAGGCAGCAGUAGGGAAUCUUGCACAAUGGGGGAAACCCUGAUGCAGCGAUGCCGCGUGAGUGAAGAAGGCCUUUGGGUUGUAAAGCUCUUUCGUCGGGGAAGAAAAUGACUGUACCCGAAUAAGAAGGUCCGGCUAACUUCGUGCCAGCAGCCGCGGUAAUACGAAGGGACCUAGCGUAGUUCGGAAUUACUGGGCUUAAAGAGCUCGUAGGUGGUUAGAAAAGUUGGUGGUGAAAUCCCAAGGCUUAACCUUGGAACUGCCACCAAAACUUUUUGACUAGAGUAUGAUAGAGGAAAGUGGAAUUUCUAGUGUAGAGGUGAAAUUCGUAGAUAUUAGAAAGAACACCAAUUGCGAAGGCAACUUUCUGGAUCAUUACUGACACUGAGGAGCGAAAGCAUGGGUAGCGAAGAGGAUUAGAUACCCUCGUAGUCCAUGCUGUAAACGAUGUGUGCUAGACGUUGGAAAUUUAUUUUUCAGUGUCGCAGCAAAAGCGUUAAGCACACCGCCUGGGGAGUACGACCGCAAGGUUAAAACUCAAAUGAAUUGACGGGGACCCGCACAAGUAGUGGAGCAUGUGGUUUAAUUCGAAGAUACGCGCAGAACCUUACCAACACUUGACAUGUUCGUCGCGACUCUAAGAGAUUAGAGUUUUCGGUUCGGCCGGACGAAACACAGGUGCUGCAUGGCUGUCGUCAGCUCGUGUCGUGAGAUGUUGGGUUAAGUCCCGCAACGAGCGCAACCCUCACUUUUAGUUGCUACCAUUUAGUUGGGCACUCUGAAAGAACUGCCAGUGAUAAGCUGGAGGAAGGUGGGGAUGACGUCAAGUCCUCAUGGCCCUUACGUGUUGGGCUACACACGUGCUACAAUGGCAUUUACAAUAGGAAGCAAAAUGGCGACAUUAAGCAAAUCCUAAAAAAAUGCCUCAGUUCGGAUUGUACUCUGCAACUCGAGUACAUGAAGCUGGAAUUACUAGUAAUCGCGGAUCAGCGCGCCGCGGUGAAUGCGUUCCCGGGUCUUGUACACACCGCCCGUCACACCAUGGGAGUUGGUUUCACCUUAAGGCAAAUAGUAAACCUUCGGGAUACAUUUGACUACGGUAUGAUCAGCAACUGGGGUGAAGUC